rnacentral:rRNA from 1 species
UGCGUAGGUGGUUUUUUAAGUCAGAAGUGAAAGGCUACGGCUCAACCGUAGUAAGCUUUUGAAACUGAGAAACUUGAGUGCAGGAGAGGAGAGUAGAAUUCCUAGUGUAGCGGUGAAAUGCGUAGAUAUUAGGAGGAAUACCAGUUGCGAAGGCGGCUCUCUGGACUGUAACUGACACUGAGGCACGAAAGCGUGGGGAGCAAACAGGAUUAGAUACCCUGGUAGUCCACGCCGUAAACGAUGAGUACUAGGUGUCGGGGGUUACCCCCCUCGGUGCCGCAGCUAACGCAUUAAGUACUCCGCCUGGGAAGUACGCUCGCAAGAGUGAA